rnacentral:rRNA from 1 species
UGGGGAAUAUUGCGCAAUGGGGGAAACCCUGACGCAGCGACGCCGCGUGCGGGAUGAAGGCCUUCGGGUUGUAAACCGCUUUUGAUUGGGAGCAAGCUUUCGGGUGAGUGUACCUUUCGAAUAAGCUCCGGCUAACUACGUGCCAGCAGCCGCGGUAAUACGUAGGGCGCAAGCGUUAUCCGGAAUUAUUGGGCGUAAAGAGCUUGUAGGCGGUUCGUCGCGUCUGGUGUGAAAGCCCAUCGCUUAACGGUGGGUUUGCGGCGGGUACGGGCGGGGUAGAGUGCAGUAGGGGAGACUGGAAUUCUCGGGGUAACGGUAGAAUGUGUAGAUAUCGGGAAGAACACCAAUGGCGAAGGAAGGUCUCUGGGCUGUUACUGACGCUGAGAAGCGAAAGCGUGGGGAGCGAACAGG